GUGCCAGCAGCCAGCGGUAAUUCCAGCUCCAAUAGCGUAUAUUAAAGUUGUUGCGGUUAAAACGUUCGUAGUUGAACUUGUGCUCCAUACGGGUAGUACACCUAUAAAUUGGGUUUGUACAUUACUCUAUUGUAUGUGAGCGUAUUACCGGUGGAGUUCUUAUAUGUAAUAAUACUUGUAUUAUUUACAUAUUCCUCCUAUUCAAACCUACUUCAGUGCUCUUCACCGAGUGUUGUUGUGGGCCGGUACAAUUACUUUGAACAAAUUAGAGUGCUUAAAGCAGGCUUCAAAUGCCUGAAUAUUUGUGCAUGGAAUAAUGGAAUAAGACCUCUGUUCUACUUUCAUUGGUUUAUAGAUCAAGAGGUAAUGAUUAAUAGGGACAGUCGGGGGCAUCAGUAUUCAACUGUCAGAGGUGAAAUUCUUGGAUCAGUUGAAGACUAACUACUGCGAAAGCAUUUGCCAAGGAUGUUUUCAUUAAUCAGGAACGAAAGUUAGGGGAUCGAAGACGAUCAGAUACCGUCGUAGUCUUAACCAUAAACUAUGCCGACUAGGGAUCGGACGGUGUUAUUCAUGACCCGUUCGGCACCUUACGAGAAAUCAAAGUGCUUGGGCUCCAGGGGGAGUAUGGUCGCAAGGCUGAAACUUAAAGAAAUUGACGAAGGGCACCACCAGGGGUGGAGCCUGCGCUUAAUUUGACUCACACGGGGAAACUCCACAGGUCCAGAACAAUAGGAUGACAGAUGAGGCUCCUUUCUUGAUUUAUGGUGGUGGUGCAUG
rnacentral:rRNA from 1 species